GGCACAGUGGUCUAACGGUAAGACUCCUGCUGUGUAGAUACCUGCGAAAUGAGAUGCAGAGGGCGGGAAUCUGGGUUCAACUCCCAGCUGAGCCA